GCGGACGUGGCGGAACUGGCAGACGCGCAAGACUUAGGAUCUUGUACCGCAAGGUGUGUGGGUUCAAAUCCCACCGUCCGCACCA
rnacentral:tRNA from 2 species